GUCCUAUGAAGAUAGAUCCCAAGGCUUGUUUCUCAAAACAUUUGCACUGACCGCCUAAGAGCUUUCGCCUUCGCUAGGCUUGAGAGUUUAUGCUGCUUUUAUCCUUCCUUGGAUGUCUGAGGCC
rfam:Solanum tuberosum cultivar DM 1-3 516 R44 scf00234_62, whole genome shotgun sequence.